AGUGAACGCUGGCGGUAGGCCUAACACAUGCAAGUCGAACGGCAGCACAGUAAGAGCUUGCUCUUACGGGUGGCGAGUGGCGGACGGGUGAGGAAUACAUCGGAAUCUACUUUUUCGUGGGGGAUAACGUAGGGAAACUUACGCUAAUACCGCAUACGACCUACGGGUGAAAGCAGGGGAUCUUCGGACCUUGCGCGAUUGAAUGAGCCGAUGUCGGAUUAGCUAGUUGGCGGGGUAAAGGCCCACCAAGGCGACGAUCCGUAGCUGGUCUGAGAGGAUGAUCGGCCACACUGGAACUGAGACGCGGUCCAGACUCCUACGGGAGGCAGCAGUGGGGAAUAUUGGACAAUGGGCGCAAGCCUGAUCCAGCCAUACCGCGUGAGUGAAGAAGGCCUUCGGGUUGUAAAGCCCUUUUGUUGGGAAAGAAAAGCAGCAGGUUAAUACCCCGCUGUUCUGACGGUACCCAAAGAAUAAGCACCGGCUAACUUCGUG
rnacentral:rRNA from 1 species